AUUUGGAGAGGAUGCUUGGGGCGCGGCGCCCACUGAGUGCCUUGGAACAGGCCGCCGGAGAGGGUGAGAGCCCCGUACGGUGGGAUGCCUAGCCCGUGCCAAGCUCCUUCGACGAGUCGAGUAGUUUGGGAAUGCUGCUCUAAAUGGGAGGUAAAUUUCUUCUAAAGCUAAAUACCGGCCAGAGACCGAUAGCGCACAAGUAGAGUGAUCGAAAGAUGAAAAGCACUUUGAAAAGAGGGUUAAACAGUACGUGAAAUUGUUGAAAGGGAAGCGCCUGUGACCAGACUUGCGCCCCGCGAACCACCCGGCGCUCGCGCCGGGGCACGCCGCGGGGUGCAGGCCAGCAUCGGCUCUCCCAGGGGGACAAAGGCUGCGGGAACGUAGCACCCUUCGGGGUGUGUUAUAGCCCGUGGCGCCAUGCCCUUGGGGGGGCCGAGGACCGCGCUUCGGCAAGGAUGCUGGCGUAAUGGUCACCAGCGACCCGUCUUGAAACACGGACCAAGGAGUCAAGCAUUGGGGCGAGUGUUUGGGUGUCAAACCCGCACGCGAAAUGAAAGUGAACGCAGGUGGGAGCUUCGGCGCACCACCGACCGAUCCUGAUGUCUUCGGAUGGAUUUGAGUAAGAGCCUUGCCGCUUGGACCCGAAAGAUGGUGAACUAUGCCUGUAUAGGGUGAAGCCAGAGGAAACUCUGGUGGAGG
rnacentral:rRNA from 1 species